UCUUGCUUACNCCAAGAAAAUGNAUGUGAAAACCAUACCGUCUUGA
rnacentral:tRNA from 1 species